ensembl:ncRNA asRNA:CR46005 antisense RNA:CR46005
AUAAAGAAGGCAAGUAAAAUUUCAAACAGUAUUUGGUUAGAAAAAAUUUUAAUUAUGUAAUAUAGUAAAUAGUAAAAUACAAUUAAAUAUAUUCUAAGUGACAAUACAUUUUUUUCUAGUAUGUUAAAUUUAAAGUUACGUAUUAUAGCUCUGAAGUAAUGCCCCGUAAGCUAGACUUUAAAAAUCUGAUGUUGAUCAAUAGAUCGUUCAAUAUUUAAAUCAAAGGUGCCGAAAUUGUUUUUGUUAGGAUACCGUUUAUACCGUUCUCCUUUGAAUAGUUAUACAACAAACAAAUAUCAUUUUGCAUGCACAACGAGUUCCUGAAUUUGUUUGUUAAUAUGAACGUAAUACAAUUUUUGGCUCAACUCUGGCAUUUUAUAUGCCAGAAUUAUACUUAUAAAUAUUGAAAUGUGGCUGAUCUUUUUGAAAUUAGCAUUAGCCAAAGAAAGAAAAACCAUAAAUAAGCCAAACAUUUGUGUGUUCGAAAGAGUCUACAUGUUAUGCAAAUCGGCCACGUUUCGUUUUCGAUUUUCUGAAAACUUUAUCACCGAUUCAGCAUGGAAAUAAAAAUCAUAACGACCAUGCAUGCCAUUUGGACACUACACAAUGGACUUCAGAGAUGAACCCCCGGCCAUAUGUGUGUUGUGAAGAUUCCGCUAAUUGCCAUUGGUGGCUGGUAUUUCAAUUGCUGGUGACCUGUCGCUCAGGUGCACCGUGCACCCAUCAAACGUGUAUUGUGUGGCAUUGCACAAGCCGCCACUAGUCGCACUCCGGCUCAAAAGUCAAAAGUUAUGGCUUUUUUUGGCUAAUGCUGGCUGCUAGCUGCUGGAUGGUGCUGCAUUUGUGCAUCUGCUCCUAACGACUCUCGAGAUGACGCAUCAUCUAUUUACAUAUUUCGGUUUCGGUGUCAAUAAAUCGACGCACAGUAGUCAAGAUAUGCUAAUGGUUUAAUUAGCGUCAUUUGCUAGCUCAACCAGCUCACCUCUCUUCUCUGCCCGAUGCUGCUGCUCGUCGAUGGUGAAGCCGAACUUGUAGGGACGCACUGUGGUCGCGGCCGACAGGACAUGGGUCAAGGUGCACAGGAGCAGCAGCUUUAAAGGGAACUCAAUGAAUGCCGGGUUCAGAGUUGGGAUCAAACUUAAGCACUUACAGCACAGACAAACGCCAUCAAUUUUAGGCUCAUUUUGGGAAUUUAUUAUUUAUUUAAAUCGGUCACCAAUUUUAUUUUAUUUUCACGCCCUAAUAUAAACUGUCAGAGCUCACACAAAAACGCAUAAAUAAACGGGCGUUUAUAUUUUAAUACAAAUACGCGAUUAUAAAUAUUUAGAUUUCAAGCGGACGGAAAGACGCGUUUCUCACGGCUAGAUUAUCGGCACGGAGCAAGCGCCUUAGAAUGAAACACACCCCACGAUGUUCGGCAGCGAAUUGACAAUGUUAAUAAUAUUAGGUAAACAUUAUAAAACAUUAGAGGCGGACGAGAACCUGCCGCUGCUUGUUGGCCAAGUGUGCGUGCGAAUCUCUGCCUUCUACACGUUGUGUAUUUCGCCAAGUCGGAUCGCAUAGCUGGUAGCAUUGGCCAGAUCGCAUCACACCUCUUGAGCCUCAGCCAAGCCUGUGCUUAUAAUUUAAAAUUUCAUGCAGUUUGAAAAGUUAUUUAUUUGAUUAUUUAAACUGCUUGUCAGCUAGUUCUGAACUUACUAAGUAAUUUGCAUCCUCGAUAUUUUUUAUACAAAAGCUAAAUUAGUUUUGGUAAAUAACCUUUUUGGCUUUUAUUGCUAGACUUCCUGAGUAUUUUUGGUCCGUAUUGAUUUAUUUGUAGAUUGAGUUCUAGUAAAGUGCAUACAAAAGUCGUUAUUAGAUAUUUUUUAUAUUUAAGCAAAUAAAGAUCCAAAAAAAUCAAAUUAUGAGAGAAGUUUUACAAGAUUAAAUUUAGAAUGGUCUAAUUUAUUAGUACUGUAUUGAAAUUUAAUAACACUUUAGAUUGGUCUUCAAAAUCGGCUAUCAGGCCUGAAGGGUAGUUCAUGCCGAUUUGUAUCUGUUAAUAAUUAAUCGACCCCAAUGUAUUUGCAAUCCAACUUGUUGAGUCUCAUCGAUAGCCAGGCAUUUGACCUGCUUGAUGAGCAAAUUCGAAUGCAAUGAGGAAGAUGUUUGCACUUCUCUAUUUUCAUCGAUCGGCAAUCAGCAGUGAGCUUAUCUUCUGCCGGAUACUGCAAGUCAAUUGUAAUUGAAAUAUUGCUGUCAAGUUCGGCAAUGACUGAUGUUGUAUGCUAAAAUUUGCAUAUUAAUUGCUAUAACAGUUGUCUUUCAAUACGAGCAUAAAUGAUUCGCGUCUAAAGAGACGCAUCACGAAGAUACUGGUAAUUAGCAUUUAGCCCCCAAAAGUAUGCAAGGGAUUUAAAAAGUUCGUUGCCUAAGUCAUUCGAUUUCAAUGCAAUCUGAAUAGCUAUAGCCUGAAAGUAAGCUUAAGAGUCUUUUAUGAUUAAACUAUGCACUUUAAAUCCGCAAAGCCGACUAUGCAUUUGGGAGAACUUUUUGUUUUUAUUUUAUUAAGGCAUACUGGAAAUUUUCGUUUGAUUUUGUUAAGAUAAGUUAAAAAUAGGAAAAAUAUAUUCUUUUUUAAUAUUAUUAUAAGGGCCCAAAAACUUUUUCUUUUUUAAUAAUGUUCAUGUAAUAAGAACACCUAAUAAAGCCUGAAGACGACUGGGUAUGUUAGCGGUUAGAGUAAUAAAAUACAUAAUAAAAAAUUGUAUUUUCAGUUCUAAAAUGUUUUUUUUUUUAAUUAAUAAUUUUCUAAAUGAAAAAAAUACCUAUUCUUUCAAAAUACUUAUUUACACUUCUUAAGAAUUGCUUAAUGGAAAAAAACCUUUAAUUAGGUCCGUUGUUUGCCAUAAGAAUCUAGUUCUAUUUAUCUGAACAACUUAACAAAAUAUUUUCAAAUAAUCGCCUUUAAAAAAAAACGACGUUUCCGACCUUUUGAGCGAAAAGCACAUUUAAAAUAAAACGAAUUCAUAUAAAAUCUACAUUUUUUAAUAUUCAACAAACUGCGUUCUGUAACUUAGGAUUCUUUCCCUUUUAAAAGGGAAAACCGAAAGUAGGUAAGUGUUGGGGAAGAUAACAAAGAGUGUUGCAGAAUUGGUGGGUUUAAAGCUGCUUACAGUGAAAGCAACUUCACUUAUGCCACGGGGGCAACGGGCAGAUGAGCACCCUCGGGCUGGAAUCCGUUCUUAUCGGCGAUGUAGUUGACUUGGUAGGUCUGGCCAUCAUCAGCAAUGAAGCGGUAGGAUCCACUCACAGAGAUAGCCUCGUUCUCAGUUCCAAUGUCGUUCAGCUGACCUACAGCUUGAGCAGCCUGUCCAUCGGAGGUUUCCCAGCUAAGAAGGAAGUCAGUGUCAGCUAGGUAUCCUUUUGGGUCAUUUCUCAUAGGCAACUUACUCGUAUUUGAAGCUUUCGGGUCCAACGUCGGAUUCAGAGCGCACGAUUGUGGGUUCCUCAGCGGCAGGAGCAGCCAGAGCCACGGCGAAGAGGGCGACGAAGACAAUCAGGAAUUUCAUGGUGAUUGUUGUUUGGUGCUUAGAUCUGCGGCUAUCGAACAGUUCAAGUCGAAUGGUAACUAUGGACGGCCGCGUAAACCCUUUUAUAGAUGGCACCCUCUUGGCGAUUAUUCAAAGCGCGGCCGAACUAGUCAAACGUGUACAAGACAUAAUGAGCAAAAUCAAUGUUAAUGUGAAAUGUCUGGUUUGGAUUUCAUUUUCGUUUGAAGUAGGAGCAUUAAAAGGCCUAAUAUAAAAUUUUAAUAACACUAUAGUCCAAAAAGAAUCGCGUUCAUAAAUAUUUCAUUAUUCAAAUUUUUAACAAUUCAUUGAGCUUUAUUAUAUUUAUAAUAAUCCAGCCAGUCUUAGUGACGUCAAUAAAACUCGGGAGCUUCCUCAAAUAUAUACAUUUUUUCUAUUUACUUUUCUAAUUCUACGAAUCUUUUACAUUGGAUAAAUAAAGUCAACUUAUUUAUUCGCAUCCGGAAUCAUUAUACAUCCAGGUAUCUCCUAGGCUACUAGCCUGAACUUGGGAUGGUAGCCAGUUUCGUCGGCCGUGAAACUAAUCUCGUAUUUUUUGCCAUCUGGAGCUGACCAGCUGGUCGAUCCCUGGACAGACAAGGAACCAUCCUCUUCGCCGGCUCCAGGUUUCACCUCACCGGUCUCAGUGCGUGAGAUUCCGUUGCUCGUCUCAUAGCUGGAAUUCGAUGUUAAUUGUUUUUAAUAAAUUAAUUAUUGAUUGAAAUUGUAUAUAGGAACAUCGAAUAAUUAAACACCUGUUACAACUAAGCAUUUCAAAGCUACCCUCUUUAAUUUUGCCCUUGCAGAGGCUUAUACCUCUGAUAUCAGUCAGAAGUUUGCAACGCAGUGAGGGAGACAUGUGCAACUAAAUAAAGUUUAUAUAUGUGUACAUAUUUAUAUACAUCAGUUUCAAUAGUCAAGCCGUUUCUACGCAAAAUAGUAAUAGUAUCUCAGUUUAAGGUUAAAAAAUUUUACAAUUAAAUGCAUUAUGUCCAAAUCAUUUCUGGGCAAUACCUACGCAAAGGAAUAUUUAUCGCCCGUGUUUUCGCUCUCCAGUUUGAUGGUCUCCGCCUGGGCAUCCUCACCAGCGGGAAAGGCCAAACAGAUACCAAUUGCCAGGAAGGCUACCAGCCACAUGAAAUUCG